AGGUAAUUAGUUUAAGUAAAACAUUUGAUUUCGACUCAAAAUCUUAUGGUUAAAGUCCAUAAUUCACCU
rnacentral:tRNA from 1 species